GGACCCUUCAAGACAUUUCGUUUAGAGAUAACUAGACUAGGUCGCGGAUAGGAGGUAAAUACAUAUGGGAUAAAACAAAGGUAAAUAAUCAUUUGUGGAUAAUGCUUAAAGGUUGAUUUUACUUUUACAAAUAAAUUCCAUUAAACAGUCAUAUAUUUUUUUCCUAUUUAGAGAAAGUAGGGAACAUAAAUUAUAAGGUGGAAAUAUAUUAUAUUUUAAUAAAUUUUCAAUUACUUUAUUAGUUUGUUGAGUAUACUUUGAGCACUCAAAAAAUAUAUGAUUUAAGUCU
rnacentral:lncRNA from 1 species